AACGAACGCUGGCGGCAUGCCUAACACAUGCAAGUCGAACGAGAUCUUCGGAUCUAGUGGCGCACGGGUGCGUAACGCGUGGGAAUUUGCCCUUGGGUUCGGAAUAACUCAGAGAAAUUUGAGCUAAUACCGGAUGAUGACGUAAGUCCAAAGAUUUAUCGCACAAGGAUGAGCCCGCGUAGGAUUAGCUAGUUGAUGAGGUAAAGGCUCACCAAGGCGACGAUCCUUAGCUGGUCUGAGAGGAUGAUCAGCCACACUGGGACUGAGACACGGCCCAGACUCCUACGGGAGGCAGCAGUGGGGAAUAUUGGACAAUGGGCGAAGGCCUGAUCCAGCAAUGCCGCGUGAGUGAUGAAGGCCUUAGGGUUGUAAAGCUCUUUUACCCGGGAUGAUAAUGACAGUACCGGGAGAAUAAGCUCCGGCUAACUCCGUGCCAGCCGCCGCGGUAA
rnacentral:rRNA from 1 species